CUCUGACUGACGAGUUCCAAAUAGGACGGAACGCGCGUCCAUUGC
rnacentral:hammerhead_ribozyme from 1 species